UACCCACCAUUUGUAUACAGGAGUACAACAGCACAGUGUGGUUGAGACUACAGGGCAAACAUUGUGCUAAGUUAGAUUUCAAAGAAUUUUUGAUCAGGAUGCAAACCAAGAGACCGUUUUUGAAAACAUUGCCAAACCAGUUGCUGGGAGUCCUACAGGAACUGGAUCAACCCAGCAAGUCUGCAGUUCCCAAGGUCUUCAGGAUGAGGCACCAGUGCAGUUAUGUAGUAUUUUUCCGCCAAAGUGAUAUGUUUUAAACUGACAGAUUUUCAUUGUUCCAUUUGAUGCUAAUAUUUUCUUCUAACAAUAGCUUUUCUCUUAAUGAUGCCUUUUACUUAUGUAAACAUGUUUUUCUCAUAAAAACUUAAAUAGUCAUUUUGCUUUUUAUUAAUGGAAUCACCACCAAGCAAUCUUUAUAAGAUUGUCAUUUAUAUGGCUACAUUAAAUAACACAGUUCUGUUUUCAUACAUAGAAAUUCUAAUAAUAUAAAAAAUUAUGUAGCCAAAAAUAUUGAAACAUUUAUACAUGAAAAGCUUGAGUCACAGAAACCUAGGGUUGAAAGGAACUUCAAGGUCUUUAGCCUUCCUCCAAGAAAUAUAACUUACAAAAGUGAGCAGAAGUUUUUAUAUAUUCACUUGCCCUUAGGCUCUUAAUUUAACUCCACACUGAGCAUUUUCGACACUGACUUGUUUUGAGAAAGGUUAUCAUAAGGGAGCUUUUCCGUUUCUGCUACCUCAAAUGCGUGUAUCUUUUUUCUUAGCCUUUCUUCCUUUACUCUUCUCUCAGAAAUAUUUCUCUUUACUAUCCUUACUACAUGGAGCUUUGUUUCCAGCUAAGUUUGCUUUUUUCAGAAGUUUAUCUCCUAAUUCAGUUCCAACCAGGGUUGCCAGAUUUAGAAAAUGAAAAAUAUAGGACUCCCAGUUAAAUGUGAAUUUCAGAUAAAUGGUGAACACGUUUUUAGUAUAAAUAUGUCCCAAAUGUUGCAUGGGUCAUACCCAUAAAAUUAUUCAUUGUUUCUCUGAAAUUCAAAUUUAACUGUAUUUUAUUGGACAACCCUAUGUAAAACCCUUAUGCCUGCAACCUUGUCUGUAAAUUUCCUUUGCUGAAGUUCACAUCUCCAUCAGUGCACUGAACUACGCAGAGGACACUCUUCUGUGGCUGCAUUUUCCUCUGCCUGCAGCCAUUUCCAUCUGGAUCCUGCUCUGUUCUCCCCUUGCUGGUUUCUCAGCUUACCUGCAGUCCCCCAUUGGCCACUCUUCUUGAGCUGUCUCCUGUUGGUGGCACAGCAGUGUUUAUUAUGCUUGACACUCCUAGGUUACCUUGAGUCCUCCUUUACUCUUGUCCUGGACAAUAACAAUUCCUGUUCAUUCUUCUUCCGCAGGGGGAUCUUUCCCUCCUUCCCUCCUCAUCUUUACUUCCCCUUCCCCUUCUCCCUCCUGUCUGUCCCUGCUUGUCUGUUCCCUACACUGCCCUCAUUCAGGUUUCUGCCCACCCACUUGCCCACCCAGCCUCCUGCUCUAGACACUCCCUGUCCAGGCCAUCUUGCACUGCCUGGUUAAUCAUUCAGAAAUAUUGUACCAAUUCUACUCUUUCCCUCCUUCAGUGACUUACUAUUGUCUGCAGAAUGAAGUAUAAGUUCCUUAUUCAAGGACUCAUAUGCAGGAACUUUCCAGAAUUGUCCUCUUCCUAUUUCCCUAGUGCCAUUGACAUCGUUACUUUGCAUCAGUGCCUACCACCCUUUCCGAUACUCUCACUCUUUCACUAUAAUAUAUUAUUGAAAACUCCCUUCGGGAAGUUUUAAAUUAUGUAAUCAUUUGGCAUACAGAUAAAAGGAAGCAUUAUUUUAGUUUAUAUCACUGUAUUAGUAAAUGUUACAUUAUAUAGUUUAUCCUAAUAAAAUGUAAUAAUAUUCACAUUAUAUAAAUAGCAAGAAAUGUUUUGACUUUUCCCUAUUUAGCAAAUGACACACACUUUCUUGUAUUUGAAUUAAUUAGAUAAUUAAAAAUGUGAUUUUUAAAUAAAAUUUAAAAUGGCA
rnacentral:lncRNA from 10 species